GCUCAAGGAAAAAGGUAUAGGAAAGCCUCCAGGAAAUAGUUGGAUUGUUAUCAGAAACCAAGUACACUGUUUUACUGCUGGGGAUAGAUCACACCCAGAGUCUGACAAGAUAUAUAUGAAAUUGAGUCAUUUGGCAGAUUCAAUCUCUGAAAUUGGUUAUGUUCCCGACCAACGCUGGGUACUUCAUGAUUUAGAGGAUGAUGAAAAAGAUAUUAAGCUCUUAAGCCACAGUGAGAAGCUGACAAUCGCUUUUGGACUACUGAACACAAGUGGUGGACGCACAAUCUUAAUCACCAAAAACCUCAGAAUAUGUGGCGAUUGCCAUACAUUCAGCAAGUUUGUCUCUAAAUUCGUAGGGAGGGAAAUAAUUAUUAGGGAUGCGAGCCGAUUCCAUCAUUUCUCUGAUGGUGUCUGCUCAUGCAAGGACUAUUGGUGAAGCCAAAUUCAUAGCAGAUGGAUGAUUUUUCAGUUAAGGAGGGCCAUACAUACUGAUUUAUUCACAAUUUGAGUCUCAAUGUCGUGAU